AUGGCCGACUGCUACGCGCCGGCGGACAUGGACGAGCUCCACAGGCGGUGGCUGCCGCGGGAGAUUUUUGCCGAUAUUGGCAUCGCCGACGCCGCCCCGCCAUCCGCCGCCGCCGUCGAGGACGUCGCGGUGCACCUCACCGGCAUCCUCGGCAGCAAGGAGGGACUUCCGCGCCCGCGCCCGCCUCCGCCUCCGCCGGCACCGGCCCCUCACCACCGCCACCACGCGUCGCAGGUCUCGGGGCUGGGAGGGACGGCUCCUGUGGUGUACGGCGGCGGGAGUAAUGGUGGCGGCGUGCCGGCGCCGUGGCCGGUCUUGCCCUACUCGCCGCCCCAGUGGCAGGUCCCGACCAAUUUCGCCAACGGCGGCGGCAGCGCCCGUUUCCUGGGCCCAAGGCAUGCUCCGCCACGGCCCUCCCACGGCCCUCCGCCGGCCAAGCGGCGUCUCGGCGGCACCGGUGGCACCGGCGUGUUCCUGCCGCGCGCCCAGGGGUACCAGUACCAGCACAAGGCUGCGACCAAACCUCCGGCCAAAGGCAGGAAUCCACCAAAGGAGUUACUUCAGGGGCAGUACCAGCCAGUGCAGCAGCAGCAGCAGCAGCAACGCGCAGACCAAGAGGAGGCAGCGGAGACGACGCAGAAGCAAAAGGCUAGCGCAGCGUUGCUAGCGCUGCCCCAGGAGUGGACUUACUGA
rnacentral:rRNA from 1 species